rnacentral:rRNA from 1 species
UAGGUGAACCUGCGGAAGGAUCAUUACCGAGUGAGGGCCCUCUGGGUCCAACCUCCCACCCGUGUUUAUUCUACCUUGUUGCUUCGGCGGGCCCGCCUCACGGCCGCCGGGGGGCACUCGCCCCCGGGCCCGCGCCCGCCGAAGACACCAAUGAACUCUGUCUGAAGAUUGCAGUCUGAGCAGAUUAGCUAAAUCAGUUAAAACUUUCAACAACGGAUCUCUUGGUUCCGGCAUCGAUGAAGAACGCAGCGAAAUGCGAUAAGUAAUGUGAAUUGCAGAAUUCAGUGAAUCAUCGAGUCUUUGAACGCACAUUGCGCCCCCUGGUAUUCCGGGGGGCAUGCCUGUCCGAGCGUCAUUGCUGCCCUCAAGCACGGCUUGUGUGUUGGGCUUCGCCCCCCGGCUCCCGGGGGGCGGGCCCGAAAGGCAGCGGCGGCACCGCGUCCGGUCCUCGAGCGUAUGGGGCUUCGUCACCCGCUCUGUAGGCCCGGCCGGCGCCCGCCGGCGACCCCAAUCAAUCUUUCCAGGUUGACCUCGGAUCAGGUAGGGAUACCCGCUGAACUUAAGCAUAUCAAUAAGCGGAGGAAAAGAAACCAACAGGGAUUGCCUCAGUAACU